GUGUUUUUGACUUUCUCUUUAUUUCCCCCACGAAAAUUGAGGAUUGACUGCAUUGGGGGUUUUCUGGAUUUUGAUCACCAGAUCAGAUGAUUGACAGCCCUACCACCUCUGAUGUCGCUUCCAUUGUGCACACCCCCUGGACCCACCUCUUCCUGUCGGCAGGGUGGUCCGCCCCACAGGUUGAGAACCACUGGACUGACGUGUUUUGGGAGAUGGACAUUGGCAAAGUAGAGGAGAUGAAAUGGAAAGAAGAAGACAGACAUACAACCUGGGCAGCCGACAGACAUUCAGAAACACAGGUGGCGAGUGCCAGGAAGAAACACAGAACAACUGAUGAACCUUCAACCUAACAACAAUUCCCAGAAGACAACCUAGCAAUACUUCCUGUUCCGGUUCCAAGAACCCACCUACUCCUGACAUUAUAUCUGGUGCCCUAACGCACCUACUGUACGUCUGAUGUAAUAUCCAGCCCCAAUAUGCCACUUUACCACUACAUCAGUUCCUGUUUUGUGAUUAUAAAUGUCAUCCAUUUUGUCAAACUCUUCAGUUCUGUUCUGGACUCCUGUCUGUAAAGAUAUAUUUCAUAAUCAGCAGUUGUCAAGUGUACAGGGUGGAUCCCCAGACUUUCAUGAUUUUUUGAGUCUUUUCUCAAAGUACGUAUGUCCUGAUUGUUAAACGUGAAUAACAACACUGGGUGCGCCGAUUCCUGUUUGUAAAUUGGGGUCUGUGCCUUUAAACAGGUUUCCAUUGAUGCAGAGGCGCUUGUGGGAUUCGUAGUU